GCCGAGAUAUGUGAUUUCACCUAAAAGUGAGCGGUGCAACGCACCUUUUGUGGCUUAGGAGAUAUGUAUGUACAAACAACUUAUUAUAGGGCGAGCUCACGUAUAAUUUUUCUCACAGUCGUUCCUUUCCACUACGAUCCCCUGUUCCAAAUUAGAGUUUUAUAUACAUACAUACAUAUGUACAUAUGUAUUAAUUUGGUGCUUAGUCAUGGUAUUUUGUAUGUUUUCGGUAAAUGGCGUUUUGUUGGCGUGGCAGUGGUAAGAUUGUGCCCAUCUUCAAACUUGUCCUCACUUUUUUGUCAGGUAACAUAUACAUACAUACACAAAAUUUCCUUACGAUAUCUCAAUAUUUAUUCAAGUUACGUCUUACACGGAUGGACGGACUGGCAGUCUCGCGGAUUUCAACUCGUCGCGUCAUCCUGAGUUUAGGUGAUACAUACAACCAUUAGGUGAAGAAAACUAUUAUACUCUGUGGCAACAUGUUGCAAGAGAAUGAAAAUGUUGCGAAAGAAUUAAACGAUAGCUCAAAAUAUAUUAAAACCAUCUUUAAAUGAGAUAUGGUGAUAUUAACUUGACCAAAGGAUUGGAUAUAAUUAUAUUGGGUAUAUAUCAGCUCUGAAGCAAAUCAUUUUUAAGAAAAAUAAUAAGUUGAUAAUAUUUUGAAACUUUUCCAAUAACUAAAUUUAUUAAAGCUUUUAAAAAAAUAAAAUAAUCUUAACAUUCCCGCCUUUAUAAGUACUAAGCAAAUACAGCGAGACAAGCAAUUCAAAUGUUCAAGUUGUGUGCAACCGAACAGCAAUACUCAUAACCACAAAAUGUUUCUUUUUAUCAUCUCGCAAAUUUAUUUCGCCAUAAGCAUAUUAUCUUAUAAUAAGCUCAAGUGGCACGACGAUUUCAGGGCGCAAAUUAUACCACAUAAAGUGCUAAAAAUUACAAAAAUAAUAUCGCGCUCUCUCCUUUACUGUUUAUUCCACUUGCGUGAAAUGAACGUUGGAUGAAAUUAAUGAAAAAUUUGAUGGCACAUAAACGACUUGAGAAUUGAGCUAAGAUUAUGUUGACAUUGGAAAUCUGUAGGUUGGGAGGUAUGUGAAAAUAUAUUAGGAGAACGGAGAAUACUAUUAAAUUGUAUGUGUUUUGUAUUGUUUCUCAAAGAAAGCGGCACCGCCAAAAUAAAUUUUUAUUUGGAAUUAAAAAUAAAACGUUUCGAUGAGAAAAAAUAAGAUUUAAAUAGGUUAAAAGAAAUUUGAAGAAUAAAUCGUUUUAAAAAACGAUCGAACCAGAUCUCUUCUAGUAGGUUCUUAGAUUAAGAAAUAUUCUUCUUGCAGAAAUUUGGUUAACUAUUGAUAGUUGAUAGUUAAAACUUUUUUUCAACGAGAACCAUUUUACGAUAUCAAAGGACGGCGAUUUGGAAUUAUUUAAAUAUCUUACAAGUUUAUUGCUUAGAAGGUAACUAGUAGGGUUCUUCAACCAUAGAACAAAUAUUUUCUUCCAACCAAGGCUAUUUUUUUCUUUAUUUAGAAAUCAAAACAGCCGAAUGUAGCGCAACAUAACUUUCAGUAAACCGUGAGUAUCUCGUAAAAAUAUAAUUACUAAAAGGCAGUGAUAUUGCGCAUUUUGUGGUAUUCUUCAAACGUUUCGCACCCCUCCACAGCAACCGCGCCUUCAGGCAUAUUAGCAUAACAAAAAGCGGACAAUUCAAGGGAAAAAACACCGUUUUGGAUGCAAGUGUGACUCCAAGAAGGCCAAACUGAAUGCCACUUACAUAGUUUAUUUAGCCACCCCUCGUGCUAUGGCGUAACUCCCGAUCAUCCCUGAAGAAAAACAACAAAAAUGUUUUUUUUUUCAUUGUUAAUGCACGGUAUCUGUUAAGUAUGCAGUUAAGACAAAAAUACUUGCGGUAAUGCUGUCAGCUUAUAUUCAACACAUUGUAUCAUUUCGUUGUUGUUAUUUCUGCGUUUAUAAUAUGUUUUUAUGACUAUGCGGUUGUUACUUGCGCUUUUUUAAAGCCAUACAAUCAUUGCACAAUUUGAUGUUAUUAGAGUUUUGGGGUCUUCGAGUCUAAAUUUAUGCGUGCAAGAGAGUGUUGGGUUUUCGCAAAUCAUGUGUGUAUUAAUAGAACCGAGAAAGUCCAAUAUUCAAGAAUCCACCCGACAGAAGUGAUUUACUCGCAUUUGCAAGCAAAGUGUUUGCUAAGUAGGAUAUGUCAGUAAGAACUGCGGGUCCCAUCUGUGCGAAGGGUGGCAGUAAUCACGCGCUAAGCUGCUGCAUAAAUUUGUGUUCUAGAAACGAUUUUACUAUUGGAAGAUAAAGCACUGACUCUUCUUCAAAGGGAAGGCGUUACGAAGAGAUUAAAGUUUACAAAGAAGGCGGAGUGGAGUGAUUUCACGCUCGAGGGGCAGAACCAUCUAGUGGUAUAUGGCUGCAAAAUACCGGAAGGCAUUGGUGCAGGUAUAUAGCGAGUGAGGGAGUGAGCGGGGUUUUCGAUUAAUAACGUCUUGAGGGGUGGGAGUGGUCCGAUUACCCAUCUAUGAACUCGUACUUUAUUUUGCAAAGGAACGUCCAUACUAAGUUUCAUCAAGAUAUCUCAAUUUUUACUCAAGUUACAGCUUGGACAGACAGACAUAUUGAUGGACAAAAGGACGGACAGCCGAUCCCUCGGAAUUCAACUCGUCUCGUCAUCUUGAUAAUUUAUAUAUAUUAUAUAUAACCCUAAGUCUACCUCGAUUAAUUUUAGGUUAUACCGUUAGGUGAACAAAACUAUUAUACUCUGAAGCAACGUCUUGCAAAACAAUUAGUGGAUGUCCUUUAAGAAUGAAAAUAAAAAAUAAAUACCAUCUGAAGGAGAUCCAGUGAGCUUUCUGUAUGUAGAACAGAAUAAACGAACUGUUUAUUUGUAUACUCACUAUGUAUAAUUCGCCAUCUGACUUCUUCGACUAGUUAAAAAUGGGGGAUGUUUUCUGUUUCAAAUAUCAGUACCUGAUUUGCUGUUGGUUCGGCGUAAUGUAUUUGUGUAAAUACAAUCAAUUGAAAUCAAUACGGCAAUUUUGUGGGGAAGACACAAAUUGCCGGAAGUAAAUUUGUUGAAAUGACGUGGGAAGUAAUUUGGCAAUUUAAGGUGAUAAAGUCAAGACACGUUGACACGUAUUGAGUCAGGUGGGUGUGAAAGAGUAGGAGUAUUUAAAUGAAAGUCCUGCACUCAAUCUGAGGUACAUAGAUUAUGUUGAACGUGUUUGGAAUAUAUUAAUUGUUCGAAAAGUAAUUUUUUUAAGCAAAUUAAAAUUGGUACAAUUCGAAAGUAUUUAAAAAAGUCUAUUUGGGUUAAUAUCGAUUGCAUUAAAUAGUUAGGUCAGUUUAUGAUCAUUUAUUUACUUACACAUGCUGGGGAUCUAAAACUGUUUUUCCAAACCGCGCUGCAGUGUCGAACCGUUUGUGUAAGAUUUCAAACACGUUUUUCUCGAAACGGAAUUUUUCAAGUCGGACGAUAUUGCGAUACUCGGAGACUAUUGCAUGUUAUUCAAUUCGAAUUUCAAUCGUAACUUCACAGAAACAUUAUUUCGUUAACUAUGUAAGUGUUUUUAUUAUUAUUGCUACUUAAAAAAUAUAUUUUUUUUAUAAACUAUAUACGGUACAUUUUUCAAAUAUUUAACAUUUUCUUUAUAGGUUUACCGUUUUACGAGAAAUUGAUUUCCAGCAAGUCUUGUGUAUAUUAACAUCGCGUAAAAGAACAGAAAUAUAUACUAUAUACUAUAUACAGAAAUUCAUAGGGUCUAAUUAAUGAAUCCGCUUCGAUAGAAAAACUUUCCGAUUCCAUCGAAACAAAUUACGAUGAAUUAUUGAAACCGUGCCAAAAUUAAAAUUUCGUUAAUAUCGAGAUCAUUGCAAUCGCAAAAUCGAAAAUUUUUGUUAUCCAUUGAUCCAUUUAAAGUACAUAUUGAAAGGAUUUCAUGAAAAAAUUCACUCGUUUUUAUUAUUGAUUCAU